rnacentral:rRNA from 1 species
CACCGGCGGCUCGAGUGGUAACCGUUAUUAUUGGGUCUAAAGGGUCUGUAGCCGGCCGGAUAAGUCUCUUGAGAAAUCCAGCAGCUCAACUGUUGGGCUUUCAGGAGAUACUGUCUGGCUCGAGGCCGGGAGAGGUGAGAGGUACUUCAGGGGUAGGGGUGAAAUCUUGUAAUCCUUGAAGGACCACCAGUGGCGAAGGCGUCUCACCAGAACGGACCUGACGGCAAGGGACGAAAGCUAGGGUAGCAAAUCAG